rnacentral:tRNA from 1 species
GGUCCCAUAGCUCAGUUGGUUAGAGCGUCGUACUAAUAUAAUUAAUUCACUGGUUAUAUCUAGUCAAUGCGAAGGCCGGCGGUUCGAGCCCGCCUGGGACCA